GGCGAUGAUGAUUGCUUUUAUUAUUUCUGACACCUCUUGUAUGAGAAGAGCUUUGCUCUUCUUUGAGCACAUUAAGCAACUCUCUGAGCC
rfam:Nicotiana attenuata strain TT scaffold05896, whole genome shotgun sequence.